rnacentral:rRNA from 1 species
AGAUUGAACGCUGGCGGCAUGCCUUACACAUGCAAGUCGAACGGCAGCACGGGAGCAAUCCUGGUGGCGAGUGGCGAACGGGUGAGUAAUAUAUCGGAACGUGCCCAGUCGUGGGGGAUAACGCAGCGAAAGCUGUGCUAAUACCGCAUACGAUCUAUGGAUGAAAGCGGGGGAUCGCAAGACCUCGCGCGAUUGGAGCGGCCGAUAUCAGAUUAGCUAGUUGGUGGGGUAAAAGCCUACCAAGGCGACGAUCUGUAGCUGGUCUGAGAGGACGACCAGCCACACUGGAACUGAGACACGGUCCAGACUCCUACGGGAGGCAGCAGUGGGGAAUUUGGACAAUGGCGCAAGCCUGAUCCAGCAAUGCCGCGUGCAGGAUGGAAGGCCUUCGGGG